rnacentral:rRNA from 1 species
CGUUAGCGGCGGACGGGUGAGUAACACGUGGGUAACCUACCUAUAAGACUGGGAUAACUUCGGGAAACCGGAGCUAAUACCGGAUAAUAUUUCGAACCGCAUGGUUCGAUAGUGAAAGAUGGUUUUGCUAUCACUUAUAGAUGGACCCGCGCCGUAUUAGCUAGUUGGUAAGGUAACGGCUUACCAAGGCGACGAUACGUAGCCGACCUGAGAGGGUGAUCGGCCACACUGAAACUGAGACACGGUCCAGACUCCUACGGGAGGCAGCAGAU